rnacentral:piRNA from 1 species
UCAAUUUGCCUUUUUGGUGGUACUGUU